AAAUUAAGAAAAGUGGGAAUCUCAUUAGAUAACCAAACUUCAUUCGUCUUUGUACAAAAAGAGAUUAAUUAACACUUGAGCAACAAAAAAACAACAGUUCAUUUCUAAUAUCUGCUAUUUUUUUCUCUCUUAGUCAAAAAUUUUGAGAUUCAAAUGAAUCAAUUAAGCUAACUGAACACAUCUGUUGCAAAAGGAGAAAAUGGAAGCAAAAGAAUGGGCCAAACUCAAUACUAUAGCCAUCUUCACUUGACCUCUCUUUGGUAUCAGCCUCUGUCUCUGUGACUGUGACUGUGAGUACUUUCCAUUUCUACUUUCACUUCCACCAUUAUCAAUCAUUCUUGAUCUCCUAACACCAGCUGCUGCCAUUUCCCUUUCAAAGACUGCUCUCUCUUGGUGUUUACUGAUGGUUUGACAGGUGGGUUUUAAAGAGAGGUGGCGGCUAA
rnacentral:lncRNA from 1 species